rnacentral:rRNA from 1 species
UACGAAGGGGGCUAGCGUUGCUCGGAAUCACUGGGCGUAAAGGGUGCGUAGGCGGGUUUUAAGUCAGGGGUGAAAUCCUGGAGCUCAACUCCAGAACUGCCUUUGAUACUGAAGAUCUCGAGUCCGGGAGAGGUGAGUGGAACUGCGAGUGUAGAGGUGAAAUUCGUAGAUAUUCGCAAGAACACCAGUGGCGAAGGCGGCUCACUGGCCCGGUACUGACGCUGAGGCGCGAAAGCGUGGGGAGCAAACGGG